rnacentral:lncRNA from 1 species
GUAAAAUCAUCAUCAUCUGAAGGAUAAUCAUGGAUCCGAGUGUUGUGAAUAGAAGGAUUUAAAGUAGGAGAAACAGAUGGGUCUACAAAAAACUGAUAGAGACCAUCACAAACUUGGCCUCGCAGUAAAAUUUCCUGUGUCUGGAUGUCCCUAAUAACACAUGAGAGGGGUGAAAUUCAAAAAAUACAUUAUUGUCGGUAGUAAAUUGAGAGAAGACAUAAGGUUUUUCUAGAUGCUAGAUACACACAAGACAUUAGAAAGAUGUAAUAAUUUCUUCGUUGUUGGUAAAACAGUAUUCCAAAUGGAUGAAAUUUUAAUGGGAGCCCCAUUUCCUAUUAAAAGAGAAGAGGUUCUUGUAUAAGAUGUGGAUGCAUUUAAACUAAACGUAUUCUGACAGACAUGAUAAGUGGCCCUUAAGUCUAGAUACCAUGAUGAGGUUCCUAUCGGCAUAGGAACAUAUGAGUUAGAAUUAUCAAAGUUGGAACCAUAUUGCGUAGCAUUCAAAAAAUCAGAUGCAUGAAAAUCAGGAAUUCAAGGUAGCCCAACACACUGUUAGGAGUCAACAUCAAAUACACGAGCUCGUGGUUUAGUUCGCCAUGAAACUUUAGGAGUAUUAUUUGGCAUAAAGCCUCCAAGAUCAACAUAAUUAGCAUUAGGCCCAAGUGAAUUUUUUACUAGUAUUGGCCUGCUCACUAUGCAGCCCAUUAUUCUGUCCAAGAGACUGCCCAACAUUCGGCCCAACAGACUGCCCAACAUUCGGCUUAAUAGACUGCCCAGCAUUCAGCCUAACAGACUACCCAGCAUGCGGUCCAAGAGACUGCCCAGGAAUCUGCUUAAGAUAUUACCCAGCAUGAGCCGGCCUCUGCACCAAAGUAGAUGGCCCAGUACUGCGUUGGCCAAAAUCAUUCCCCAAAUUGUGCUGCACAUCACGACCAAAGAAUGGUCUAGCAUAUGAGCCACAAAAAACAGACGGACCACCAAACCAUGCAUUAGUCAAUCCACCUGCAAGGCCAAAUCCAUAGCCAGCAUCACUAGGGCACGAAUAGUCAAAAUUAGGAGCCCUAGCUUGCGGCUGAUAAUUGCCACCAUUUUGCAAACCUCCUAACGAAUUAUCUCUAGACCCGAAACCCCCGAACAGAAUAGAACGGCCAGCAAACUCAUCCCCUCGUAACCCUUGGCUAUCAUGCAAAGAAGAAAACUGCACCGUGGUAGAGCCGUUCAGGCGGCCAUAAUUGCGGUUGAAACAAUAGAAGUAGCAUUGUACCAAAUGACUAAAGCGGCUGCAUAUUUGGCACUGUGUUCGUGGUCGAAACCCUCACCCACGCGAACCUGCCACCACGCGCAUCUCGCAAAUCGGAGGCAACCAUCGUAGCGAUUGACGUUUCGAUUAGAUGAGCAUGCAUUGAAACCUCACGCGCCGCUCACAUUUUUCUACUCUCAAAUUCCAGAAGAACAACAAGGUGCUGGAAGGGAAGGGUCUCCAUCGAGAAUGAAGCCAACGUUAAAAUCGCAUCAAAGUCUGACGAGAGACCAGUCAAAAUAACUUCCACUUUUUCGGUCUCUGACACCUCCAAUCCAGACGCUGCAAGUAAUACACAAACAUUUUUGUAUUUGUUAUAUAUUCCUUAACAGUUAAACACCCUUUUUCAUAGAGUGAAGAUCAUGUUUAAUCUAGGAGAUUUUUGCACCAAUAGAAGCAACGAAAAGAUGAUUCGCUGUACUCCAUAUCUCACAUACAGACUUAGAAGAGGUAAAGUAUGAAAAAAGAAAACUUAUUGUAGAUAGAAGCCAUGAAGCUAACAACUUAUCUUGUUGAUUAAAUGCAUAUGCCUCUGGAUUUGGAGUGAGCCCAACUUCGGGAGAAGUAACGAACUGAGGCGGAGUAGAAAGCGUGCCCUCCAAGAAUCCUUGUAGCACAUACCCCUCUAUGAUCAGCCGAAUAUGGUGCUGCCACUGGACAAAAUUGCCUUCCUCAAGUUUCACUGUGUCAUAGGGCGGAAAUGAAUGGAUCAGAUGUGUGCUGGAGAAGGUCUAACUCACAGGAUCAGCAGAGAUAGAAUCGACUGAUGGUGCCAUGUUGCGAAAGCGAAAUCAGGUACUAGGACUAGGCAACUGAUACCAUGUUAGUAGCUCUAUAAAAUUGAAAACAAACUAAAAGAAAAUUGAAAGAAUAAAAGAGAGUUGAUUGAAAUAUUAUUGUGUUGUUAAUCUGUUUAUAUCAGUAUAGAGAACUGGUUUAUAUACAUGAGGAAGGUAGGCUAACUUCUGCUAACAGAAUACUAGUCUUGAUAACAUACUAACAACUUGCCUAACACAUUUGCAUACUCUAAUAGCCAACAACACUCGCGCUCUUCCAAUUCACUAAGGAGUUUCAAUUCGCCAAGAAAUGUUUCUUCUCAUUUUGAGUCAUUCAAGGAUAGGAGAAGGCAAGGCCCAUAUUGUAAGUUUGACAACUACACCACUUAUGAAGUCUAGUAGUUUUGAAGGUAGCUUUAGGGAUCAAUGUCAAUUCCACAACUUAGGGCUUAAAAUGGAAGAUUGUAUCUUAUUAAAAGACACCAUGGAAAUGAAGAAAUGAGAGCGCAAUCUUGGAUAAAUAUAGAAAUGAUCCCAUGGUGGUUUCGAGAAAACCCUCUGAUCACAUAACUUAUGGGGUUCACUCUGUCACGAAUAGAAAAUCCAUAAGCAUAAUUUGACAACCUGAUGACCCUAACUUCCAACAGUCGUACCAUCUUUUCAUGUUUUGUUGAACAGGAUCACUCAUUCCCUUCAGUAAGGAUUGAAAGUUCCCUGUACUUGUCAGGAGCUUUUGUCGUUGUAAGACUAUUAGAACUAACCCUGUUAGAGUAUUGCUGCCUCCCACCAUCAGAUCCCUUAUUUCCCAUUCCUUUAGCUCUUCAAUUAUUAUUCCUGGCCAUAUCUCCAAAUCCUAAAAUCUUAAAAACAAAAAAACAAAAACAAAAGAACCUGAAACUUACCAAAAGACCAACUACGUUAAAGAAAUUCAAUAAAAAAAAAACUUACACCGAUUUCUUCACAGCCUCUUUAAAACUUUUACCUUAUUUCAAUCGCUAAAAGAACAAAAGUCAUUCAAAAUGCCAGAAUCAAGCAAUUUGUAGAAGAAGUGUAUAAAGGAAGAUAAAAAAAAAUUCUAAAGACAAAUACCCUCGUGCCACGUCGUGCACAAUUAUGAAACAUCAACUCCCCCUCCAAUCUCGAGAAAAUGCAUGUCCUCCUCAUUUAUUGGUGAAUAUCAACUAGCGCCCUUUUCAAAUUCAAAUAAACAGCGACACAACGUUUUCAUCUACACGAUACGCACUCCCUUUCUACCAAGCAUGCAUCAUAUGCAUGAUCACUUUUACUCGUCACAGAAAUUGAAUCAACUCAAGGAAUAUUACUUUAUAACCUCCCUUUCGAUUUAAGGAGGGGAAAGGGACAAAUUGUUCAAGGCACCUCGCCCAUAUAGACUUUGCCGCCACAAGCUUAUUGCACAAUAACCACGAACAUCUAGACCUAGCCAAGGGUAACACUUCACUGGGGUCAAGCUCUAUGAAGGUACAUAUGCUUAGAAUAUGGAGCUUUUUUAGUCUACCUCGCCAAUGACAAGUGUUAGGCCAAGGAAAAGUGUUAGGCCUUUUCUUACAUGUCUUGCACGUGGGACCUCACCUAGGCUAUCCCCAUCCCUCCGUUGCCAACCUAGAGUAGUAUUGUGUCUCCCAAGUGACUGACCAUGAUUGAGUCUACACCAUGCAUGUCUCAAGACCCAAGGUUAAGAGAGGGCCACUCUCACCUAUAAAUACCUCUUUUAACUAUGGGUAAAGGAUCUUGGGCUGACUACUCCCCUUCAACCUCUCAUUCUACAAUCCUACUUGAAUUAAACCAAACAAAUCCCAACCUCUCAUGGCUCUUCACAUACCACCAUGUGAAUCGUCACUUAAGCCUCCAACCUCCCUUUUCCUCAAAUCAUUUAAAGAUAAUGGAACUCACAAAUAAAAGGUUUAAAGCUAUCCUACACGAACUUAGAUAAGUUCUAACAUAACCUUUUUUUAGUACAACGAAGAUUCGAACCCAACCCAAACUAUUACCGGGAAAGUUGAACACUAGGCCAAUAGGCCACAACUUGGGGUUUGACAUAACUAUUUUUUAUAUUCUCUAAGUUUUUCUAUGUAUUUAAAAGUUUAGAGUACUGUUUCUUCAUACAUGCAUACAUCCAAAUAUGUGUCAAACAUGAAUGUCAACUAUGAAUACUUUAAGAAAAGGGAAGAAUAUGUUUAAGUACUAAUUUAACCAUGACUAUCUAGCUAGACAAAAAUUUCAAAUUAUUUUGAAAAACUAUAACAUUAUCACUAACAUAAUACAUAAAUUAUUUAUUGAUAUUUUUUUCUGAUUAUGUUCAUUUGGAACUUAUAAAGCAUAAAAACCUCUCUGUCAAGGGAUUUUCUAAGUGUUGAACAUGAUUCUGAAAUUACUAAAAAUGUGUUGAACCAAAAAAAAAAAAAAAAGAUUAGGUCAAAACAAUGUCAAGACACAACUUGACACAUCCAGUACUGAUUUGGUUUUAAAGGGUUCUUUUAAUGUUCAAGUGCACAAAUAUCCAAACACAAGUCUCCUACCAGAAUAUUUGUAUUAUAAAAUCGGAAGAUUCAAAAAAAGAAAGCCACGAUCCUAACCUCCAUUGAUAUGGCAUUAACAUUAUUGGAGUUGUUGAAGGCCUUCUUCUCCAUAGAUGAGCUUGGAACAUCUUUACUAGCAAGCGGUCCCCUGGUCGGGUGUUGAUCAACACCAAAAAGGUCUUCAAAGUUGCGGAAAGAUAAAUCAAUAUCAGGUAUGUUAAAAUCAUCUUGGCAAAAUGUGUCUUCACAAACUCCAAGAUCUUGCAUAUUUUGGGACCAUAACUGUGGAAUUCAAUUAUGAAACACUGUUAACUUCAAAGACCCAUCAUUCUCAAAUAAUUAAGUAGCCAUUCCUAAUUUCCUAAAAUAUAAGUUAAACGCCCGGCUAUGAGAAUUAUCAGGCAUGUUACACAGACUCAAGCUCUAGAUAAGGUAUGUGUUUGAACGAAGAAAACAAAGAAUCCAGAUAGCAUCAUAUCCUAUCACAAACACAAAUAUCAUAUAUUGAUACAUCAGGAAAAAUAUUAAGUUCUAUCAAUUAUGUAUGGCCUAUGCAAUUGCCAGCCAUAAAAGAAGUUUUCUAUCCUCAGAGAACCCUACGUUCAAUCAAUUAUGAAUUAAACAUGAGUAGUGAUCUACGGUUAAUAAUUAACCAUCUAUUUCAAUGACUUGUGUGAUCAGUGGAACAAACCUGACUAUUGCGGAUUGGACUUUUACAUUGCCAAAUAGAUUCUCCUAAAAAGGCAUCCCGGAAGUUGAAGACGACAAUAGGUUCUCCAUAUCCGUAUUUAGCUCCUCGAGCGGAUUGUCACUUUGGUGGAUAUUUGUAUCAGUAUCUUGGACUAGAUUACUAUCAUCGUUUUUUGAAGAGUUGCAUAUUGAAGAAGAUGUGUCUGCUUGUUCUAGGCUACAAUUGAGAGGCAAAUGGCAAUCUCCCUCAGUGAGCUGAAAUUUUUUCAGGUCAAUAAUCUGUUGUAGAAUCAGUGAAGUAUUUUUCAAUUGCUGAACUCUGCUAAUAACCUGCAAUAACAAUAACAAGAGCACAAUAAAGAGGUUAAUAAUCUCUCCUUAGCCCUCAGGAACUAUGAAGUGUGUUAUUAAUCUAUAUUAUAUAUGCCCUGAAGAGCAAACUCUUAGUGUCAAAAGGAGUUCCAAGUUUGAAAUGACCUAAUUCAUCGUGGUUUUAAGUCAUCCGAUUACAUUUCAAAACUACAGAUUACUAUUGGUUUUAAUAUCCAUUACAUUCGUUUACCCAGGCUAUGUUACUCGGACAUAGGUGUAUGUCAAAGAUGGUUACGUGUUUGAUAGGAAUGUGUUUAGUUUUUUCUAAGUUUUUCCAUAUAUUGGAGAUUCCUUGGAAGCUCAUAUCCAAAAUUCAUUGGAUGCGGGUACAUCAAGAAAAAUGAAGAGUUGGAAGAAGAUAGUAUCCUGGAACAUGUCUUAGGUAGAAAUGAAGAAUCUAUUGCACAUCCAAAAUUCUACAAAAAAAGCCCGGUAGAUUAAACAUUUUACAGAUGGAAAGACCACCAUGUGGAAGAAAAGAAAAGGAGAUUUGAAAAUGAAGAGUAGUAGUUAAAAGAAAUGCAAUGCAGUGCAUUGCUCUUGGGCUGAAUAGUUCUGUUAUAUGGUGUAUCAAGUAUUCAUAGGACUUCAGAUACUAAUGUGUGUGUAUAUAUCUCUUAAAAUGAAGAGCUAUCAUCCUUGCACCAAUAACUAAGCAGCAGCAGAGUAUAAUAUCACUAAUUAGUUUCAGUAGGUUAGGAAAAGGAGUCACUCCUGGUGCUAUCAAAUGACAGGCAGCUCCAUUCAGGUAAUUUGCUCUGUCUUCAUUUUAAUUAAAAAACAUGUGUCCAAUACUAGUAUCUAACACAUAUUAGGAUAUGGGUAUAGAGACAUUUCCUCCAAGGACCCUCCAAAUACAUGAAAAAACUUAGAGAAAAUUGAACCUACCCCUUUCAGACGAAUACCUGAAUCUGACAGUCACACCUAGGUCCGAGUAACUUACGCUUUCAGUUCACUGAUCAAAUAACCUGAUUUUCUGAUUGACUGACAUAUCGAUGUUAACUAGGGCCUAAGUAGGCAGGUGAGAACCCUUAAGAAACUUGAGUCAUUAUUUUAAAACACAUCUUUCUAGUGAUUCUUUUUUUAGAUGACAGGGUUGUAUUAUUUAAGCAUGGUUUUAGGUACAAUAUAAUGCAUUUAGCAUAAUUUUUCAUUUUAGGCAGGACAACUGGUGAACUUCAGGCUAUCUAAUUUCAGGUACAAUACAAGGAUAUGUUCAGAUUUUCUUUUUUUCUUACGUUUUUCCAUGUAUUUGGAGAUACAUAGAGAGGGUCAUCUCCAAAUACUCAUUCGAACAUCUUUUGGACAUGAAUACAUCAAGAAAAAUGAGGAGUCAAAGCAACAAAGUUUAGAACGGCUUACCGUAGGUUACUUAAGUUUGCUGCAUAUUACUGGGAUCAUGGUCACAAAUUGUCAAUAAAAAUGUCAACGGUGCAUGCAUAGCCAUAGCUGAUUAUAAAUAUAAGAAUUCAAGAGAAAUGUAAACAAAUCACCAAGCUCUACUUGCUAGUAAAUGCUACCAUGAAUUAACCUUGGUUCGUUGACAGUUUGAUCCAGAGUUGUGUCCUGCAGCAGCGAGAGAAGUCAUGCCGGAUUUACUCAAAGAGACUCCGGCUCCCAAAGAAGACUGCCUUAAGUUCCCAGGUUCAACUGCUAUGGGAUUCAUAGAAAUACAUGAAUUGGACAAAGCCUGGUCUUGAGUAGCAUUGUUAUCCAAUUCAUUCAAUUCAAAACCCC